rnacentral:rRNA from 1 species
UACGUAGGGCGCAAGCGUUGUCCGGAAUUAUUGGGCGUAAAGGGCUCGUAGGCGGUCCGUCACGUCGGGAGUGAAAACUCGGGGCUCAACCCCGAGCCUGCUUCCGAUACGGGCGGACUAGAGGUAGGUAGGGGAGAACGGAAUUCCUGGUGUAGCGGUGAAAUGCGCAGAUAUCAGGAGGAACACCGGUGGCGAAGGCGGGUCUCUGGGCCGAUACUGACGCUGAGGAGCGAAAGCGUGGGGAGCGAACAGG